rnacentral:rRNA from 1 species
CUUUGGUCUUGUUUUGUUGGUUAUAGGACCGAAGUAAUGAUGAAUAGGGAUAGUUGGGGGCAUCGGUAUUUAUAAGUCAGAGGUGAAAUUCUUGGAUUUUAUAAAGACCAACUACUGCGAAAGCAUUUGCCAAGGAUGUUUUCAUUGAUCAAGAACGAAAGUUAGGGGAUCAAAGACGAUCAGAUACCGUCGUAGUCUUAACCAUAAACUAUGCCGACUAGGGAUCGGUCAAGUCUUCAAUGUCUUGAUCGGCACCUUAUGAGAAAUCAAAGUUUUUAGGUUCUGGGGGGAGUAUGGUCGCAAGGCUGAAACUUAAAGGAAUUGACGGAAGGGCACCACCAGGAGUGGAGCCUGCGGCUUAAUUUGACUCAACACGGGGAAACUCACCAG